AGACAAAGAAGUAUUCAAAUUGGCGGAGUUGAGCAACAAAUAAUCAACUCGAAAUAAUUGUAUAUUUAAAUUCAGGUUUCAAUAUCGGGUGAAUACAAUAAUUGGAUAUGCAUUCCUGAUUUAAAGGACAUAAAAUAUGCGCAUCCUCACAAACAGCUUGAGCAUGAAUUCGCUUGGGAAAUGUGGACAUUCUUGCAAUGAAAUUCUUGGCAGA